rnacentral:rRNA from 1 species
CUCAGAAUCAACGCUGGCGGCGUGCCUAACACAUGCAAGUCGAACGCGACUGGGGUUUCGGCCUCAGUUGAGUGGCGAACGGGUGAGUAACACGUGGGUGACCUACCUCUGAAUGGGGGAUAACGUCCCGAAAGGGACGCUAAUACCGCAUAACAUCCUGCUCUUGAAUGAGCGGAGAUCAAAGCUGGGGAUCGUAAGACCUGGCGUUUGGAGAGGGACCCGCGUCCGAUUAGCUAGUUGGUGAGGUAACGGCCCACCAAGGCGACGAUACGGUAGCCGGCCUGAGAGGGCGGACGGCCACACUGGGACUGAGACACGGCCCAGACUCCUACGGGAGGCAGCAGUGGGGAAUUGUUCGCAAUGGGCGCAAGCCUGACGACGCAACGCCGCGUGGAGGAUGAAGGUCUUCGGAUUGUAAACUCCUGUGCCCGGGACGAAAUGUCAGACCCAACACGUCUGAGUUGA